AUCUCCUGUAGCUCAGCUGUGGUAGAGCGUCCAACCGGUGUACGGAAGCUCAUAGGUUUGACUCCUGCUGGGGAUU